GCUUAGCUCAGUUGGUUUAGAGCGUCUGCCUUACAAGCAGAGGGUCGGGGGUUCGACUCCCUCAGCGCC
rnacentral:tRNA from 1 species